AUACUUACCUACCAGGGGAAAUAAUCUCAAUCCUGAAAGUGGUUUUCCUAAAGUGAGGCUCAUCCAUUGCACUGUGGCUGUGCUAACUGCUGCAAUUUCCUCAAAUGGGGGAAAAUUGACUGCACAAUUUGUGAGUGGGGGACUGCGUUUGUGCUUUCCCCUG
ensembl:snRNA U1 U1 spliceosomal RNA